rnacentral:lncRNA from 1 species
CUGGUGUCACCACGUGCACCAGUGUCACCACCCACACCAGUGUCACCACGUGUACUGGUGUCACGAUGUGCACCAGUGUCACUACAUGCACCAAUGUCAUCGUGUGUACUAGUGUCACCAUGCCACCAGUGUCACCACCCACACCAGUGUCACCUUGUGCAACAGAGUCACCAAGUGCACCAGUGUCACCACGUGUACUGGUAUCACCAUCCACACCAGUGUCACCAUGCCACCAGUGUCACCAUGCGCACCAGUGUCACUGCGUGUACUAUUGUCACCACGUGCACCAGCGUCACCACCCACACCAGUGUCACCUUGUGCAACAGAGUCACCAAGUGCACCGGUGUCACCGCGUGUACUGGUGUCACCAUGUGCACCAGUGUCACCACCCACACCAGUGUCACCAUGUGCACCAGGGUCACUACGUGCACCAGUGUCACCGUGUGUACUAGUGUCACCAUCGGCACCAGUGUCACCUUGUGCAACAGAGUCACCAAGUGCACCAGUGUCACCGCAUGUACUGGUGUCACUGCGUGUAGUAGUGUCACCAUGUGCACCAGUGUCGUCAUCCACACCAGUGUCACCAUGCGCACCAGUGUCACCACCUACACCAGUGUCACCACGUGCACCAGUCACCAUGUGCACCAGGGUCACUACGUGCACCAGUGUCACCAUCCACACCAGUGUCACCAUGUGCACCAGUGUCAUCACAUGUACUAGUGUCACCACCCACACCAGUGUCACCUUGUGCAACAGAGUCACCAUGUGCACCAGUGUCACCACCCACACCAGUGUCACCCACCGCCUGCACCAGUGUCACCUUGUGCAGUGGCAUCGCCACGUGCAUCAGUGUCACCACGCUCACUACUGUCACCCAAGUGCACCAGUGUCACCACAGGGACCAGUAUCACCACGAGUACCAGUGUCACUGUGUGUACUGGUGUCACCACGUGCACCAGCAGCACCAUCCACACCAGUGUCACCUUGUGCAACCGAGUCACCACGUGCACCAGCAUCACCACGUGCACCAGCGUCACCUCGUGCACCAAUGUCACCUCGUGCACCAGUGUCACCUCGUGCACCAGUGUCACCGUACAAACCAGUGUCACCGUGUGCACUGGUGCCAGCACACACGCGUGUCACCACAUGCACUGGUGUCACCCCCCUCCUCUACUGGGACCCCCCCAGUAAUGGGACCCCCCCUCUACUGGGACCCCUUGUGCCCUGGGACCCCCAAAU